GGCUCACUGCCCCUCCCUUACCUUGCAAGACAUGUUGAAGAAAUCGUUGUACUGGCGCUGUUUCGUAGUAAAAAGCUAAUCUUUAAGACGGGCUAUUAAACCCCAGCCUCUUUGAUCUGCAUUCGUUCGCAACAUUACGAAAAAUCUGCAUGCACUGUGCUUUACUAAAGAACUGAUGUAGGCGUACCGGUCGGGGCGUUUACCACCGUGUGAUAAAGUUUAACUACUGAAGCUCCAAGGAGAAACCCAAGAAAAGAUUUUGGUGUCAAAAAGCUAUUGCUAGAUGUUUGCUGAUCGAAUGGAAAUCAUUGGAUCUUCAUCAUGGCUGUUGAAUCCAGCAUUCUUCAACCAUCAGAUGUAUCAACAUAAAACAUGGGAUUAACAAGCGAGAGAUGGAGAGAGAAGACUCCAGAAAGGAGAGGCCGUAGACACCAGAAAGGAGUGGACUCGGAGUCGAUGAAGCCCAGAGAAAUCGAUGGAGGAGCAGUGGAAGAGAAACCCUGAGCUCCAACUUGUGCACAGUAGACUGUUUCAU